rnacentral:rRNA from 1 species
UACAGAGGGGGCAAGCGUUGUUCGGAAUUACUGGGCGUAAAGGGCGCGUAGGCGGCCUGUUAAGUCGAACGUGAAAUCCCCGGGCUCAACCCGGGAACUGCGUCCGAUACUGGCAGGCUUGAGUCCGGGAGAGGGAUGCGGAAUUCCAGGUGUAGCGGUGAAAUGCGUAGAUAUCUGGAGGAACACCGGUGGCGAAGGCGGCAUCCUGGACCGGCAUUGACGCUGAGGCGCGAAAGCCAGGGGAGCAAACGGG